GUUCUUGAAUUUUCUAACUUCAACUUUUGUUAUCAUUUUUAUUUUUCUCAGUCAAGCUGAGAUUGGAAGGUUUGUUGCCAUGCUAAGAAAUCCGUCUUCCAUACUCAAGGAAUGUGCUGUAUUUGCACUUCUCCAGUUCACGAUUCCGGGUGGCCGGCACACAUCACACCAUGUGACGCUUUUGCAGAACUCUGGAGCGCCACGGAUCCUGCGUGUUGCAUCUGCAGCAGCAGCAGCACCAAUUGAAGCCAAAAUUUUUGCAAGAAUUGUACUUCGAAACCUAGAACACAACCCUAAGGAACUUCAAUCUAAACAGCAGCUCGGAAGUCAGAAAAUAACCUCAACCAGACUCCUCAACAGUGGGUGACAUUUCAAACCUCAAUUAGCUUCCAUCAGCUGGACAGCAGUUUAACCAUGCCUAAGGCGCUGUACAUAGUUUCUGUGUCAUUUUUGUUUUUCUUGUUUUUCGUUUCUGUUUUUAAUCGUAAACAAUAAUAAAGGUCCUUCGGUGGUCAAUGGUUUGAAGACAUUGUCACAAUGAAUAGUUGUUUGGUGUAACUUAUAUGAGCUGUUCAUGUAGCCAUAAGUUAAUAGCUGUUUUUUGAGACUUUAUGGCUUUGACUGAAUUUUUAGUAUCCUUUACUUGGAGAAAUUUUGUUAUUAUCCUGGGAUA